UGAGUGUGUGUGUGUGUCUGUUAGUGUGUGUGUCUGCACACACUAACAGUCACACACACACACUCAGU
rnacentral:pre_miRNA from 1 species